GGGAGAAAGAAGCUCAGGAAAGAGAGAGUGAGAGAGUGAGAGUGAGCACUCCAGUGGCUCAGGCUUUGGAAGGAUAAAGCAGCAGAGGUGUGCCAGUGCUGAAGACCCAGUUGGAAACCACAGCUGGACACGAUGUAGAGCAGGCUGCAUCCUUAGGAAAUGAUAAAAGAGCCAAAAUCCCCACAGACAUCACAGCCGGGUGACCACAAGGGAAAAUAAAAUACGGCUGGCCUAUUUUGCAAUCCGUGAGGAAGUUAUUCAACAUUUGGGAAAGAAAUGUAAACACAAUGCAUGCAAGCGAGCACAUGAAAUCCUAAAGCAGGAUAACAGGAGAGCGUGUUUCCCCAUUUCAUGUUGCCUCUACUCCCUAGCUGAGAUGUUGAAUUUUGAGUAAUGACACCAACUAAAAAUAAACUACUUGUUGGGCCUUAAA